UUUUUUUUUUUUUUUUUUUUGUACAUUCAACGUACGACGAUUACACAUCUACUGAACCAGAAGAAGAUGAGAUGUAGAAAGGAUAAAUGUGAUCUGAUAAUUGGAGGACUAGUGUUAAUUGUGAGCAGUUGGGUAAUGGGAGUAAAAGGGUCGAUCCAUGAGUACAAGAAUGAAGCUUUUAUUCCUCGUUUUAAUUCAUUCUUCUUCCAUGGUGGUAGUGAAGGUCUUUAUGCUUCUAAGGUGCAAGAUUCUCCCCUUCCUCUUUCUGAUGACACCAAUAAUAAACCCCUUACUGGCAAGUCUUUCAUCAGGUUUGAGACAAUCACCUUUAGAAGAACAAAGGAGGCUGCAAAUAAGCAAAAUGAGAUGCAGCAGAGUACUGGAAUUGUUGAAGCCAUAAUAGUCGAGGUCAAAGACAGGAAUAUGAUUGGAGGAUCCUAUCUUAAUUCCGAGGCAAUAUGUUGCACCCCUGCUCUUGCCAAGGAUGGAUCCUGCAAGGUAGGAGAGGUUAUAAUCCAUCAAGAUUCUGAGAACCCUGGGUGGCCAAAGCGGAUUCAGACGUCCUUUGAAGGAAACAAUGAAGAGGCUAAUAUGGUACUCCAGACUGUCGAGAUCAACAAGACUGGAAUGUAUUAUCUCUAUUUUAUGUUCUGCAAUCCAGAACUCCAGGGGACAUUAAUUAGUGGUAGAAGUGUUUGGAGAAACCCAGAAGGCUAUCUACCUGGGAAGAUGGCACCACUAAUGACAUUUUAUGGUUUGAUGUCUCUAGCGUACCUCAUUCUUGGUCUCUUGUGGUUUUUACGUUUCGUACAACACUGGAAGGAUAUAAUACAGUUGCACUAUCACAUUACUGCCGUGAUAGGUCUUGGAAUGUGUGAAAUGGCUCUUUGGUAUUUUGAAUAUGCAAAUUUUAAUGCCACAGGUAGCAGGCCAAUGGGAAUUACCAUGUGGGCUGUUACCUUCAGUGCUAUAAAGAAGACCGUCUCACGUUUACUUCUUCUAGUCGUUUCAAUGGGUUAUGGUGUUGUACGGCCCACACUGGGCGGUAUAACCUCAAAGGUACUUCUUCUGGGUGUGGUAUACUUUCUAGCUUCUGAAGCCUUGGAGCUGGUUGAACAUUUGGGAAAUAUCAACGACUUCUCCGGAAAAGCGAGAAUCUUUUUGGUGUUACCUGUUGCUUUAUUAGAUUCCUGCUUCAUUGUAUGGAUAUUUUCCUCAUUAUCCAAAACUUUAGAGAAGCUUCAGAUUCGUAGAAGCGUGGCCAAGCUUGAACUGUACCGAAAGUUUACCAAUUCUUUAGCAGUUUCAGUUCUGCUCUCUGUUGCUUGGAUUGGCUAUGAGUUGUACUUUAAUGCAAGUGAUCCAUUGAGUGAAUUGUGGCAAAGAGCCUGGAUUAUCCCUGCUUUCUGGACCAUACUAGCAUACUUGCUUUUAACGGUGAUAUGCAUUCUCUGGGCUCCUUCGAAUAACCCAACCAGAUACGCAUAUUCAGGGGAGACUCUUGAUGAUGAUGAGGAGGGUCUGUCCCUCACAGGCAGUGGAGUAAUAGUGGGAGGAGAUCUUGUGUCUAAACUGGAAAGGAAGGAGAGGAAGGCAUCUAUUGCAGCAGAUCAUGUGUUUGGGCUAGGAGAAGUUGUUGAGGAGGAUAAAAGAGAAUGAUGCCAUUCAUUUCGGGUUGUUCUUUCACUCGUUCAUUCAGGGACACAGAAGUUUGCCCAAAUAAUAUUUAUACCUCCUUUUCUUUUCCUGUUUUUCGUAAAAGACCAGACUGAAAUACAUGGCGGUUGGAAAUUAGCAAGUCGGAUCGGAGAUCCAAACAACAUUGCAGGGAAGAUUGGCAUCUCUCUGAAGCUUCUUGUCUGAAGAAUAGCCAGAGAAAGCCAGCAGGUGAGCUUGGCAUUGAAGUCCAGUUCUCAGAGGCAAUCACAAUUUUAGGCUUAGUAAUUGAAACUUCAUACGUGAUGUGAAGUCGAUUAGGCUCCAUGCUAAUUUAGAGGAUGCAAAAGACCCUUGUGGCUUGAGGUACUCGUUGCUGCAGCUCUUGGUAUACCAAUCUGAUGAGCCUUAUAUGCAUAACCAAGAAGGGGAAAAGGAAGCAAAAAGAGCCUGCAAGAAAAAAGAAAAAGAAAUGGUAAACUUAGUUUAAGCUAAAGCAUCAUAUCAUCAGUCUGCCUCAUGUUUGGUUUGAUGAUGAUAUAAUAACCAAGCUGAAUUUUAUAAAGAGUAGUAAGAUGGAUAUUGUGAAAAGUACCUAAGAAUAGGAAGAUCAAAUAAACUCUCGUGUGCAACAGAGUGUUCAAAUAUGUAUGGAGGAGAGAAUGAAACCUGAAAGUCUGAUCAUCUGAAAUGCCUAGAUGAAAAUAUGCUAAGAUGAAUCAUGAAUGCAUGAAAAAGUCUCACUUGGUCA